UAGCAGAGGGUGCGAACGUUGCUCGGAAUUACUGGGCGUAAAGCGCGUGUAGGCGGCCAGGUAGGUCUGGUGUGAAAACUCGAGGGCUCAACCUCGAGAGGUCAUCGGAAACCAUCUGGCUAGGAGUCCGGAAGAGGAGAGUGGAAUUCCCGGUGUAGCGGUGAAAUGCGCAGAUAUCGGGAAGAACACCUAUGGCGAAGGCAGCUCUCGUGGGACGGUACUGACGCUGAGACGCGAAAGCGUGGGGAGCGAAC
rnacentral:rRNA from 1 species